CCAACGCUUGGUGGGUUCAACCGAGCAGUGCUCUAACAUAUACUGUUGUCUAUUCCCUUGUUGGUGGUGCUCAAAAUAUGGAAAUGCAAAUUGAUUGUUCAAGAAGUAUAAGACGAGGAGCGUUGACACAUUUGAUGUUCGGGAAGUCAUCAAAAAGUAUGGCUCGGAGGAAUGGGGAGAGUAUCUUAUUCGUGAAGCACAUCUUUCUCAAAGGUUUUGCUUUGACGAUGUUGGAUAUUAUCGUUAUUGUGGGUCAUUUCAUUUUCUUCAAAACAAGUCAAUCAUCUGAGCUUAUCAAAAAGUCUUCGUGGAGCUAAAGAUUCAUCACCUGGCUGUAAAUGCUCCCUGAAGAGGAACCAAAUCUAUGAGAUCGAAGGACGAGUCUUGUUUUGAUGCAAAACUCGUAGGUAUA